rnacentral:rRNA from 1 species
AAGCCAGACUCCUACGGGAGGCAGCAGUGGGGGAUAUUGCACAAUGGGGGGAACCCUGAUGCAGCGACGCCGCGUGGGUGAAGGAGCGUUUCGGCGCGUAAAGCCCUAUCGGCAGGGAAGAAGGAGGACGGUACCUGACUAAGAAGCCCCGGCUAACUACGUGCCAGCAGCCGCGGUAAUACGUAGGGGGCAAGCGUUAUCCGGAUUUACUGGGUGUAAAGGGGGCGCAGACGGCAGCGCAAGCCAGGAGUGAAAGCCCGGGGCCCAACCCCGGGACUGCUCUUGGAACUGCGCGGCUGGAGUGCAGGAGGGGCAGGCGGAAUUCCUGGUGUAGCGGUGAAAUGCGUAGAUAUCAGGAGGAACACCGGUGGCGAAGGCGGCCUGCUGGACUGCGACUGACGUUGAGGCCCGAAAGCGUGGGGAGCAAACAGGAUUAGAUACCCCCGUA